CAAAUGGAGCAGAGGGCAACAGUAACAGAGGGCUUACUUAGUACUUCAGUUUUAUUUGACAUUUGGCCAGUGAUUUAACGCAUUAAGAGUCAGAGCGAAUUAUUAAGAGACAAGACUUUACUCCUCUCUCCAGGUAGCUUACUUUCGGAGUCAGUGCUCUGCUGUAGGUAGUCUCAUGUCUACCAAUACAUGCGUUGAGAUGAAGAACCUCAAAGUGGAGCAAACUGCUGUCUCACUUGCACAGGUUGACCUACCCAGGACCGUUCUGAGAAAAAGAGAAGUCAAAGGAAGCUUUCGAAAACAUGAGUGAAUGUGCUUUCCCUGCCCAUGGAGAUGCCAGGCACCUCAGAAACGGCUGGAUCAUGAAGGGUGAACCAGUGAAGUAGCUCCACUUCAGCCCUGCCGCACAGAGGUGCUUGUGCAAACGUUAAUGCCUGAGCACCGAUACCCUUGGGCUGCUGCCUCUGCCCUCCUGCACGUGUCCCAGGCUCCUGCUGCUGCUUGCCCCUGUGGGGCUUUUCCACCGUGGCCUUCCUGCUCCUGAAGACUUCCCGUGACGUCUCAGGCCUGCUCCGAGUUGCUCCUUGCAUCUCCUCAGCACGCGUGCAGAGCUGAAGCUGACAGGACCAAAAACCCACCAUUACUGUCGUUCAGACACGCAGCCAGCUUCUGCCCGCUUUAAGAAGGUGGGGAUCCUGGUCCAGUACAAGAUGAAAACUUGAAAACCGGCACAGGACUCUCCA